AGUGAACGCUGGCGGUAGGCCUAACACAUGCGAGUCGAACGGCAGCACAGUAGGAGCUUGCUCUUACGGGUGGCGAGUGGCGGACGGGUGAGGAAUACAUCGGAAUCUACUUUUUCGUGGGGGAUAACGUAGGGAAACUUACGCUAAUACCGCAUACGACCUACGGGUGAAAGCAGGGGAUCUUCGGACCUUGCGCGAUUGAAUGAGCCGAUGUCGGAUUAGCUAGUUGGCGGGGUAAAGGCCCACCAAGGCGACGAUCCGUAGCUGGUCUGAGAGGAUGAUCAGCCACACUGGAACUGAGACACGGUCCAGACUCCUACGGGAGGCAGCAGUGGGGAAUAUUGGACAAUGGGCGCAAGCCUGAUCCAGCCAUACCGCGUGGGUGAAGAAGGCCUUCGGGUUGUAAAGCCCUUUUGUUGGGAAAGAAAAGCAGCAGGUUAAUACCCCGCUGUUCUGACGGUACCCAAAGAAUAAGCACCGGCUAACUUCGUG
rnacentral:rRNA from 1 species